AGACAUUCUAUUAAUAGUGUUAUCAUAAAUGGAUAGCAGUGGUGGGAUGAGGAUCAAAAAUAUUCCUAAGUCUCAUUAUCACCAAUUAUCCCACAGUAUUUCUUUUUCAUAAUCAAUGUUCACAAUAUUAUCUUUUCAACAUGGCGACUUCAGUAGAAAUUCCUUUAAGAGAUACUGACGAAGUGAUAGAAUUACAAUUUGAUCAGUUACCAGAAGGCGAUGAAGUUUUGAAUAUAUUAAAACAAGAAAAUGCUCAGUUGAAAAUAUGGAAUGUUCUUGCAAUUCAGUAUUUCAAAGAAGGCAGAACAAGUGAUUUUGUUCAGUUGUUGGAAGCAGCUAAGACAGAAGGAAACAUCAAUUACACAAACAGUGAUCGUGACAGAAUGAUAUGUUUGGACACAUUGGCUGCAUAUUAUGUUCAAGAAGCGAAAAAAGAAAAAAACAAAGAAAAAAAGAAGGAAAUGUUUACUAAGGCAACACAACUUUUCACUACUGCUGACAAAAUUAUUAUGUAUGAUCAGAAACAUCUUCUUGGUCGGGCAUAUUUUUGUUUGUUAGAAGGAGAUAAAAUAGAUCAAGCUGACGCACAGUUUAAUUUUGUUUUAGCGCAGUCUGGCAACAAUAUUCCAGCGCUGUUGGGAAAGGCUUGUAUUUCGUUUAAUAAAAAAGAUUUUAAAGGAGCGUUAGCAUAUUAUAAAAAAGCGUUGAGAACAAAUUCUAACUGUCCAGCUGCUGUCCGUCUUGGUAUGGGUCAUUGUUUUGCAAAACUUGGAAAGGAUGAAAAAGCAAAGCUUGCAUUUGAAAGAGCCUUACAACUCGAUCCAUAUUGUACUGGAGCGAUGGUUGGUCUUGCUAUUAUGGAACUGAGCUCAAAAAAACCUGAUGCCAUCAAAACUGGUGUUCAAUUGCUUUCUAAAGCCUACUCAAUUGACAACUCCAAUCCAAUGGUUUUGAAUCACUUGUCAAACCAUUUCUUUUUUAAAAAGGAUUACACAAAAGUUCAGCAUCUUGCUUUACAUGCUUUUCAUGGUACUGAGGUUGAGUCAAUGCAAGCAGAAAGCUGUUAUCAAAUGGCAAGAGCUUUUCAUUCUCAGAACGACUACGAUCAGGCUUUUCAAUAUUAUUACCAAGCCACACAGUUUGCUUCUGCUGGAUUUAUCUUGCCAUAUUUUGGACUAGGACAAAUGUACAUAGCUCGUGGGGAUACAAACAAUGCUGCGCAAUGUUUUGAAAAAGUGUUAAAAAUGAUGCCUGGUAACUAUGAAACCAUGAAAAUCUUGGGUUCCCUCUACAGUAGCUCUGAUGACAUGGAAAAGAAGGAGACGGCAAAAAGUCAUUUGAAAAAAGUAACUGAACAAUACCCGGAUGAUGUUGAAGCUUGGAUAGAAUUGGCGGGAAUUCUUGAACAGACCGAUGUACAAUCAGCAUUGUCUGCUUAUGGUACGGCUUCCCGUUUACUUAAAGAAAAGGUUGGAGCUGAUGUUCCACCGGAAAUUUUAAAUAAUGUUGGUGCAUUACAUUUUCGAUUGGGAAAUCUUAACGAAGCUAAGAAAUUUUACGAAGCAUCAUUGAAACGAGCGAAAACUGAAGGCGAUAAUGAUGAAAGUUAUUACAAUGCAAUAUCAGUAACGACAAAUUACAAUCUAGCAAGAUUGCAUGAAGCAACUUCAGAAUUUGAUCUGGCCGAUAAAUUAUACAAAAAUAUUCUUCGAGAACAUCCGAACUAUGUUGAUUGUUAUCUCCGUUUGGGUUGCAUGGCACGAGAUCGAGGUCAGAUUUAUGAAGCGUCUGAUUGGUUCAAAGAAGCAUUGCAGAUCAAUCAAGUACUUCAUAUAAGUUUUAGUAUUGCUAAAGUUGAUGUUUAUGUGUCUUUGCAAACGGCAUGUGUUAUAAAAUGUAAAGAUCUGCUGGAUUUGAUUGUUUAUUUACUAUUUAAGGAUCACCCUGACGCUUGGUCCCUGAUUGGCAAUCUUCAUCUUGCUAAGCAAGAAUGGGGACCUGGACAAAAAAAGUUUGAAAGAAUCUUGAAACAGGCUUCCACACAAAAUGAUUCGUAUUCCUUGCUUGCUCUUGGUAAUGUGUGGUUGCAAACGUUACAUCAACCUACAAAAGAUAAGUCAAAAGAAAAACGCCAUCAAGAUAGAGCACUCUCCUUGUAUAAACAAGUUUUACGACAAGAUGCCAGAAACCUUUAUGCUGCUAACGGAAUAGGUUGUAUUUUAGCUCAUAAAGGAUUUCAAAGGGAAGCCAGAGAUAUUUUUUCGCAGGUUCGUGAAGCUACUGCUGAUGUAGCUGAUGUUUGGUUGAAUCUUGCUCAUAGUUAUGUGGAACAAAAACAAUAUGUGGCUGCUAUACAGAUGUACGAAAACUGUCUAAAGAAAUUUUAUCGUCAUCAUAAUGUUGAAGUGUUGUCGUAUUUAGCAAGAGCUUAUUAUUUAAGUGGAAAACUUCAUCAAUGUCGUCAUGUUCUCAUCAAGGCUCGACAUAUUGCUCCCAAUGAUACCGUUUUGCUGUUUAAUGCGUCACUUGUGCAACAAAAACUGGCUACAGUGAUUUUAAAAGCCGAGAAAAGUUCAUUGAAAGUUGUUUUAUCUGCUGUUGGUGAACUUGAAAAUGCUCAAAGGUCUUUUCAAUGGUUAAGUCGUCACGGUGAUCGUAUGAAGUAUGAUCUCGCUUGGGCUCAAAGCGAGGCUAGGCAAUGUCAGGAUUUAUUAAGUCAGGCGCAGUAUCACGUUAUGAGAGCGAGAAAAAUUGACGAGGAACAACAAGAAAUAAGGCGUAAACAAGAGGAAGAAAAGGAAUUAUUGAGGAAAAAAAAGGAAGAAGAAGAGCGCCUAAAGAAAGAAGAAAAUGAAAAACAACAAAAAGAAAUGCUUGAAAAACGAGCGAAUUUCCGUGAGGCUACAAAAAAUUUGUUGGUGUUUACGCAAGAAGAUAUGGAAGAGAAAAAACCAAAGAAAAAAAGAGGAAGGGAAACUGGUGAAAUUUAUUCAAGUGGAAGUGCUAGUGAGACAGAACAUGUCACAAAGAAAGAAACAAAGAAAAAGAGGAAAAAACAAAAUGAUGCCGAAUCUAAAGAAAAAAAGCAACGAGUUCCUUCUGGCGAUCGGAGCAAGAAAGAAAAACGAAAACUUGAUCCAGACGCUCAUCUUUCGGCGAAACAACGACGAAAAAUCAAAUCAAAAGCCAUUAUCACCUCUUCUGAUGAAGAUUCAGAUUCAGAUGUUGACAAACUUGAAAUUAAAUUUGAAAAGUCAGGAAGUGAGAAAGAAAAUGAUGACAACAGCGAAGAUGAACGCAACGAAACUGGUGGUGGAAGAAGUGAUGAAUCUGAAGGAAACGCUUCUCGCAAUGGAGACGGUGAAUCCGGAGUUGAUAGUAAGGAUGAUUAUGAAUCUGGGGUGGAGAAUAGGGAUGCUGAUGAAUCUUUGAAAGAAAAUAAAGAUGAAGAAUCAGAUGGAAAAGAAAACAGCGACAGUGAUAAUGGCGAAGAAGGGGAAAAUGAGGAAAAUUUUGUAACUAAAGUUGAUAAUUUAGUCGGUCAGGAAUCCGACGAUGAAAAACUUAACAAUGAAUCUGAAGUUGACGAAUAUACAAAAAGGAAAAGAGUACAGUCGAAUGAAGAAGAAACUGUUUUAACACCAAAGAAAAAGUCCAAACAAAUUGAAAGCUCAUCUGAUUCAGAAGAUGAUUGAAGGAGCAUUUGUAGGAUGAGAACUUUCCCUGGCGUAACAAAGAAACGUUAAUCGUUGAGGAGAAAAAUACAAAUAAAUACAGAAAAGAAGAAGGAUAUGUUAUUUACCAGCUGGGUGCUCCGGAUGGAAAAUUAUUUUCCCGAGGUCUCAAAAAGGGCCCGAGGUAUUUUAUCUAUCAGAAGUAAUCUUAAAAAAAAGUAGAGUGCAAGGUUACGUCAAUAUCAGAUUCAAAAUAAAGUCCUUAACGCAAAAUAACAGGGUUUUUCAAAAUACAUAAUAUUAAAUUUUAACUCCCAGUUUAUCAUUUAAAUUCUCUAGAUGCAAAAAUUGGUAAUUUUUCUGUGACACGUAAUGUUGUUAUCGUACAAUACAUCGGCAAAUGCAUCUUUAUAAAUCAUUAAUAUGUGAGAAUAUAUUUUUCUAUACUGUAUAAUCUUUAGUAUUAUUCAGUUUGUUCUCACCAAGAAAAAUCAAUCGAAUUUAUUCAACGGGUAUUGAAACUUAAAGUCAUUAAGUCAACGUCAAGUGAAAAAAUUAAAAACAUAACAAGAUAUUUUGCAAA